UCUCUCCUUACCCGUCCACCAGUGCUCCCUAGUAUGAUCUGCAAUAAUCAGCUUUCCCCAAACUUAACCCUCAGCUGCAUGUUGGCUUUCAGAAUUUCCAAACCUAACCCUCAGCUGGAUGUUAGCUUUCCUAUUUCCAUGUUUUUCCACAGGCAGAUAUCCCCUCUCCUUCAAGGUGUGCUGUUCUACCCUAUUUCACUGCUGGUGCACUUCUACCUCUUGGGAUUCACAUCCACUGGGCAGAAGUAUCCACAGAGACUGAACUUGUGCCUCAGGUGUGCCAGCAUCUGGAAGCAGCCAUGUAUUUGACUGGAGGACAACAAGGAUCCCACAUCCCUUUUUCCAGCACUGAGUCCUGAUGUUUUGUCACAGAGAGCUUUGGCUGCUAGGCUGUUUCCUGGAAUACUCCAUUUCAAAAAAUCAAAGUCAGUCAAAAUAAAGGAUGAAGCCAACUUUUCUUUCUCCCUACAAAAUAAAAAGUUGUCUUUGGGAAGAUUCAAAAUUUCUGUCUUCACAACACAAAAUACCAGUGGAUCAAAACAGGAAGAAGUGGCAUCCAGCAAAGUCAAAUGAGAUCAAAACCAGGACAAAAAAAUGUGGAAAAGAGUCCUAACAGCCAACAGGAAUUGGAUGAUGAAGUCACUCUCACCACCAUCUGCUCCAAAAGAAAAGCAAAGAAACCAAACCAGCCAGAAAUCCUUUGUGUUCACAAAGAAAUUCAUCCUCUCAGUGUAGGGAUUUUGACCCAAUCCUCUCUUCAUUACCAUGAACACCCAACUUCCCAUUUGGUCAAAAACAUCCCCUUGCAAAUCGAAGGCACCGUGUAAAAAUAGUCACAAUGACAAUAACAAUGCUAAUAAUGAGGAUGGAGAUCUUUCUAAACCAUGAACAAAUGUUGAUUUUACUCUAAAAUAAACUCGUGGAGAAUGGGAGCAUUUUUGUAAUCCUUGUGUUCAUUGUUGGCUUCCUUUGUUGAGCUUUCUGGAUGCUAUUUCAGAGAGGGAAGAAUGAGUCACUGUCUUGUCUUGCAAUGAGCCCUGGGGUGGAGUUCCAUGUCAGCUGGCAGAGAAGGAAUUUGGGGGCAGGUGCUUUUCAGGAGACCAUGGCAAACACUCAGCAAGUAACAGUGGAGCCUCUAUUCUGGGAUUAAACACAACAUGAGAAAUGAAGGUGCUUAGGAACAGGACAGACAAGGAGAGCUUUGAUCAUGUGGUGCACCCACAAGACCAAGGCACCCUGAUUACCCUCUUGAGGAUUUGAGAAAGGGAAAGGAAUGGCUCCAUGGCUGCUGAGGUUUGCCAGGAGAGUGUGUUCACUUGGGAAUUUUUAUUCCCUUCACCUUUUUUGAGAAAAUCCAUAUGGCACUGAACAUUUCCUGAAGUGUGUCCAUUUCAGAGCUUGUUUAGUUUUACCUGCCAGGAAGCCAUAAGAGAGUCGAGUGUGUGUCAGCUUUUGGGACCAUCUUCAGCAGAGAAUCAGAUGUGCUUGAGCUUUUGGGAGCACCUUCAGCACCAAACUAUAGUUGCCCAAGGAUGGGUUAAAUGGGCGUUUCCAUUACCUGGAUCAUAGGGAAAAUCCCCUUUGAACAAACAGCUGAACAGUCAAUGCCACAAAUAUUCACGCAGAGUUCAGACUCUAAGGUACCUUUACCCUGAAAUAUUAGCAGACAACAAAGUUUUUGUGAUUUAUAAUUACUGCUUCUUUCUUAAAAAGCUACAGCUUUGAAGACUUUGCAAAGAGCCUCACACACUGAGGAGCUGUUUAUGUCACCUCUUUACUUACAAAAUCAGACAUUCCUUCUUCUUGGAGCAAAGAGCCAAAAAUAGCACACAGCUCCAUGUCCAGAACUGAAUAUGCUGCCAUCUUCUUCAGCUCUGGCCAAAACUCAACUCAGCAACAGGUGACCCUAGUGAUUUUUGACCCUCACAUUUAGGGCAGCAACCCCUACCCCCAGAAUUCCACAGGGCAGCAACCCCAGUCCCAGAAUUCCACAGCUUUUAUAGCCUCUAGCUCAGAGCAGAUCCAACACCUGAGGCAACCCCAGGGCCUCUCACCAUUAAUGACAACACCCAAGGGUGCUCCUGAUUCAUCCCACCUGUGUUUUUUCUUUAGUCACUUAACGCACAAAUGACACUUCUUUCUUCUGAAGUCUGACCAGAAUGAGAAGGAUGUGGAGGUAUUUAGGACUCUGUAUUUUAGAGGCCAGCGAAUAAGGAUCAGCAGAAUGGAAGUGCAGAGUUUCAUGUUCUUCACUUCUCUCCACACCCAAAGCCGUGAGCAUCAAUGUCCCACCCAGGCUCAGGGGUUACAGACUCCAGCAGGGCCAGUUUCUUCCUUUGCUUUUAUGUUUACUAUAAAAGGCUUUAGAAGCCUCAGCACUGAUUCCUAAACACACCCAAACCCCCAGGAACACAGGAUUACUGAGGAGCUCCUUGAACAAAGAAACUUCAUCUGCCUUUUAGAAUGCUGUGUUCCCUUUGCCCAGCUCAAUGCCAAAAUUGCUGCAGGACAUGGCAGCCACAAAACCCUUUAACG